UUGCUGUGAUGUUUCAAACACUGUUUUAAUUUGUUUCCUUGUCAAUCAAUCUUGUUGUCCAACAAUGUUUCAUAGCGGCCCUUCUAUAGGUCAGUGACUAAGUGUACCUUUUGGCCAAAAGAAGAGGAACAAUGCCGAAACGUCACACAUGGUAUGGCAGAACUUGCAUCUUAUUCCUUCUACACCCGAUUAAUACAUUUUUUAUUUACUUAAACCACUACAAUGUCAAAUCUUCAACAUAAUGGCAACUUGAGAAAUGCUCCUGCGAAGAGUGUCCUUGAUGUGGUGAUAUAGAUAUUGGCAAAUAGUGGUGUAUCAAGUCGACUGAGUGAUCCAGUAAUAGCUAAAAAUUUCUCAUUAUUAAUUGAUAUUAAUGGUAUUAAAGAUGACAUUAAAGAAUUUUCAAGGUCUGAAUGCUAUAAAAAUUUGUAGAAGUAAAUAUUUCCUUUUAAUAAAACUAUUAAAUAACUUA